GUGCCAGCCGCCGCGGUAAUACGGAGGGUGCGAGCGUUGUUCGGAUUUAUUGGGCGUAAAGCGCGUGUAGGCGGUCUUUUAAGUCUGAUGUGAAAGCCCUGGGCUCAACCCGGGAAGUGCAUUGGAAACUGGGAGACUUGAAUACGGGAGAGGGUAGUGGAAUUCCUAGUGUAGGAGUGAAAUCCGUAGAUAUUAGGAGGAACACCGGUGGCGAAGGCGGCUACCUGGACCGAUAUUGACGCUGAGACGCGAAAGCGUGGGGAGCAAACAGGAUUAGAAACCCUAGUAGUCC
rnacentral:rRNA from 1 species